AGGACGAACGCUGGCGGCGUGCUUAACACAUGCAAGUGGAGCGACGAACCAGGGCUUGCCCUGGGGCAGAGCCGCGAACGGGUGAGUAACACGUGGGUUACCUGCCUCAAUGACCGGGACAACCCGAGGAAACUCGGGCUAAUACCGGAUGUGCCCGCAAGGGGAAAGGAAGCUUCGGCCUCCGCAUUGAGAUGGGCCCGCGGCCCAUUAGCUUGUUGGUGAGGUAACGGCUCACCAAGGCUUCGAUGGGUAGCUGGUCUGAGAGGACGAUCAGCCACACUGGGACUGAGACACGGCCCAGACUCCUACGGGAGGCAGCAGUGGGGAAUCUUGCGCAAUGCGCGAAAGCGUGACGCAGCAACGCCGCGUGGGGGAAGAAGGCUUUCGGGUUGUAAACCCCUUUCAGUUGGGACGAAGCUUCGGCGGUUAAUAGCUGUCUGGAGUGACGGUACCUUCACAAGAAGCACCGGCUAACUACGUGCCAGCAGCCGC
rnacentral:rRNA from 1 species